rnacentral:snoRNA from 1 species
AUGCAUGUCUGACAGACCUGGAACAGUUAAUGCUGCUGCUAAGGUUUCCACUAUAGGUGCAAGGAAAAGAAGGUCCUUGUACAUUUUGUCUGUCUGGUUGUGGUAGCCAAGAUUGAGAGGAAGAAGACAGGA